GUGAGGUGUAAUAGGGCUUCUCUAAAAUUAAGGGAAAAUGGGGUCAGGGUUGCCGGGGGUGAGGUGUAAUAGGGCUUCUCUAAAAUUAAGGGAAAAUGGGGUCAGGGUUGCCGGGGGUGAGGUGUAAUUGGGCUUCUCUAAAAUUAAGGGAAAAUGGGGUCAGGGUUGCCGGGGGUGAGGUUUAAUUGGGCUUCUCUAAAAUUAAGGGAAAAUGGGGUCAGGGUUGCCGGGGGUGAGGUGUAAUUGGGCUUCUCUAAAAUUAAGGGAAAAUGGGGUCAGGGUUGCCGGGGGUGAGGUGUAAUAGGGCUUCUCUAAAAUUAAGGGAAAAUGGGGUCAGGGUUGCCGGGGGUGAGGUUUAAUUGGGCUACUCUAAAAUUAAGGGAAAAUGGGGUCAGGGUUGCCGGGGGUGAGGUUUAAUUGGGCUACUCUAAAAUUAAGGGAAAAUGGGGUCAGGGUUGCCGGGGGUGAGGUUUAAUAAGGCUACUCUAAAAUUAAGGGAAAAUGGGGUCAGGGUUGCCGGGGGUGAGGUUUAAUUGGGCUACUCUAAAAUUAAGGGAAAAUGGGGUCAGGGUUGGUUGCCGGGGGUGAGGUUUAAUUGGGCUUCUUUAAAAUUAAGGGAAAAUGGGGUCAGGGUUGCCUUAAUUUCUCAUCAGUCUUUUUUUGGGGCAGCUUGACACUCCCUUCUAUCGUGGGUCGCUUCCUAUCCUGUAACGCCGCUGACUUGACAACACUGGGACCAUAUCUUAAUCGCCUCGCCUCUCACACACACACACACACACACACACACACACACACACACACACACACACACACACACACAUUUGACAGGGUUUUCACAAGCUUUAGGGCAUUUCCAGGGAUGGUUUAAUGACCCUAGUGGUAGUUAAACCCUUCUUCUGUACCACGAACCUAAACAAACACUCAUUAGAACCCGAUAGAUCUCAUUUUUGUCCUUUGGGAAUUGUUGAUGUGAAAGUUGGCGCGUGUGGGACAUGAGAGGAGUGCAUGGCCGAGGGUGAAGGGGAGAGGAAGGAGGUGGAGAGGGUAGAGGGGGAGAGAGAGAAGGGGGAGGAAAGAGACAGGGAGUGGGAGAGAAA